AAAGGAAAGCAGCAAAGGUGGCCUGAGGAAGACUCUGUCCUGAGAUGCAGGACGAGCUGGGGAGAGAGGCCUGGGCUGCCGAGCUGUCGUGAAGAGGGUGCGUCUGUGGCAGCAGCUUCUGGACACCCCGUGGGGACACCCGCUGUCUAGAGCCAUGCUGAGCAGACUUCUCCUCGUAUGGACACCGGCGCCCCCGCCCUCCACUCGUCCCCGGCAUCUGCAGGGCCACUUCCCAGGAGUAACCCCUGAAGAACUGGAGCAGGCAGACCCCCUUCGCAGAUGAGGAAACCAUCUCCCCAAAGCCACCUACAAACAGAACCCCACCCUGCCCGCCAGGUGUGGCUCAGGCACAGCCGCAGCAGCCCACGUGCCUGGGAUGGCCCCUCCCACGCUCAACCUGGACUCUGAAUUUAUGGCAAAACCUGGUUUCCUCCCCAGGUUUCCCCAGCCCCUUUAGAAC
rnacentral:lncRNA from 1 species